GUUGACCUCGGAUCAGGUGGGGA
rnacentral:rRNA from 1 species